rnacentral:rRNA from 1 species
AGGUCUUGACAUCCCGAUGCUAUUUCUAGAGAUAGAAGUUACUUCGGUACAUCGGUGACAGGUGGUGCAUGGUUGUCGUCAGCUCGUGUCGUGAGAUGUUGGGUUAAGUCCCGCAACGAGCGCAACCCCUAUUGUUAGUUGCCAUCAUUCAGUUGGGCACUCUAGCGAGACUGCCGGUAAUAAACCGGAGGAAGUGGGGAUGACGUCAAAUCAUCAUGCCCCUUAUGACCUGGGCUACACACGUGCUACAAUGGUUGGUACAACGAGUUGCGAGUCGGUGACGGCGAGCUAAUCUCUUAAAGCCAAUCUCAGUUCGGAUUGUAGGCUGCAACUCGCCUACGUGAAGUCGGAAUCGCUAGUAAUCGCGGAUCAGCACGCCGCGGUCGAAUACGUUCCGGGCCUU